UACGGAGGGGGCUAGCGUUGUUCGGAAUUACUGGGCGUAAAGCGCGCGUAGGCGGCUUUGUAAGUUAGAGGUGAAAGCCCGGAGCUCAACUCCGGAAUUGCCUUUAAGACUGCAUCGCUAGAAUCAUGGAGAGGUUAGUGGAAUUCCGAGUGUAGAGGUGAAAUUCGUAGAUAUUGGGAAGAACACCGGUGGCGAAGGCGGCGACCUGGUCCUUGACUGACGCUGAGGCGCGAAAGCGUGGGGAGCAAACAGG
rnacentral:rRNA from 1 species